rnacentral:rRNA from 1 species
CACGUAGGGGGCAAGCGUUGUCCGGAUUUAUUGGGCGUAAAGAGCUCGUAGGCGGCUCAGUAAGUCGGGUGUGAAACCUCCAGGCUCAACCUGGAGACGCCACCCGAUACUGCUGUGGCUAGAGUCCGGUAGGGGAGCGUGGAAUUCCUGGUGUAGCGGUGAAAUGCGCAGAUAUCAGGAAGAACACCCGUGGCGAAAGCGGCUCUCUGGGACGGUACUGACGCUGAGACGCGAAAGCGUGGGGAGCGAACAGG